rnacentral:rRNA from 1 species
UACAGAGGUGGCAAGCGUUGUUCGGAAUUACUGGGCGUAAAGGGCGAGUAGGUGGCCAUCUAAGUCAGACGUGAAAUCCCCCGGCUUAACCUGGGAACUGCGUCUGAUACUGGACGGCUUGAGUAUGGGAGAGGAACGUAGAAUUCCAGGUGUAGCGGUGAAAUGCGUAGAUAUCGUUUGGAACGCCAAUGGUGAAAACAGACAGCUGGGAGUGUGCUGACGCUGAGACACGAAAGCCAGGGGAGCGAACGGG